UACGAAGGGGGCUAGCGUUGCUCGGAAUCACUGGGCGUAAAGGGUGCGUAGGCGGGUCUUUAAGUCAGGGGUGAAAUCCUGGAGCUCAACUCCAGAACUGCCUUUGAUACUGGGGAUCUUGAGUUCGGGAGAGGUGAGUGGAACUGCGAGUGUAGAGGUGAAAUUCGUAGAUAUUCGCAAGAGCACCAGUGGCGAAGGCGGCUCACUGGCCCGAUACUGACGCUGAGGCACGAAAGCGUGGGGAGCAAACAGG
rnacentral:rRNA from 1 species